rnacentral:rRNA from 1 species
UACAGAGGUCUCAAGCGUUGUUCGGAUUCAUUGGGCGUAAAGGGUGCGUAGGCGGCGCGGCACGUCGGGUGUGAAAUCUCGGAGCUUAACUCCGAAACUGCAUUCGAUACUGCCGUGCUUGAGGACUGGAGAGGAGACUGGAAUUUACGGUGUAGCGGUGAAAUGCGUAGAUAUCGUAAGGAAGACCAGUGGCGAAGGCGGGUCUCUGGACAGUUCCUGACGCUGAGGCACGAAGGUCAGGGGAGCAAACGGG